rnacentral:lncRNA from 1 species
GGCCUCUGGAGAAGAGACAGCAAGGAGAUGACCCCAACCCUGGAAAGACAGAGCCACCACUGUCUGAGCUUGCUGGAGCCAGUGAGGAGCAGGUGCAGGGGCCCGUGCGAUUCUGCGAGCUCGCCCACCUCAGCUCAUUGCCACUUGAGGCUACGCUCCAUCUGGAAAUGCUCGUGAUUCCUGGCACCAGACACCCAGGUCAUCCGUGCUUAGAGCGGCGUGGCUGGCGAGCAGAAUCACCUCCUGUCCUCCCCGUGGCUGGGCAGAUGGCACAGAUCGGAGAAGAGGCUUGGGGCUUGGGCGCCGGAGCAGGCUUGCUUGCCUUCCUCCCCGAGGCUACUGCAUUACUCCACCCGUUUGAACACCCUCUUUGGUGGGGGGAAACAUUCGCUUUCUUAGUGCUGAUUGUGUAUUUCCUGCCAAAACUGAGCUGGGAGCUUUGAGCAAUCCCACUGAAACCUGAGCUGCGCAGCCCAGCCCAGCCCAGCCCGAGGCCUGGAGUCUGCUUCCUCUCCUGGGAAGAUGACAGGGUGAGGUCAUGGCACGCGGGCUGGAGCUGCAGAGAUGCAGCCCUUCCAGAAACCGAGAUGAGACGAGUGCCUCCCAAGAAAACAUUCUGGAAGCCAGGUUUUAAUCAACAUUAAAUGAAUCACGGAUUUUUAUAAAGACGGGUAAAUUCCGAUGGUGGCCUGUCUGGAUUUGUUUUAAAACUUAAAACGUACGUUUGGCUUUGAGAAAUGAGAGUACG